CCUACGGGUGGCUGCAGUGAGGAAUAUUGGUCAAUGGACGGAAGUCUGAACCAGCCAUGCCGCGUGAAGGAUGAAGGCGUUCUGCGUUGUAAACUUCUUUUAUCAGGGAAGACACCCCGUGUUUUUACGCGGGCCGACGGUACCUGAUGAAUAAGCACCGGCUAACUCCGUGCCAGCAGCCGCGGUAAUACGGAGGGUGCAAGCGUUAUCCGGAUUCACUGGGUUUAAAGGGUGUGUAGGCGGGCUAUUAAGUCAGUGGUGAAAUCUCUGGGCUC
rnacentral:rRNA from 1 species